rnacentral:rRNA from 1 species
AUUGAACGCUGGCGGUAUGCUUAACACAUGCAAGUCGAACGGCAGCAUGGAGGAGCUUGCUCCUCUGAUGGCGAGUGGCGGACGGGUGAGUAAUAUAUAGGAAUCUGCCUUAUAGAUUGGGAUAACUACUCGAAAGAGUGGCUAAUACCGGAUGUGAACUACGGUUUAAAGCAGGGGACCUUCGGGCCUUGCGCUAUAAGAUGAGCCUAUACAAGAUUAGCUAGUUGGUGGGGUAAAGGCCUACCAAGGCGACGAUCUUUAGCUGGUCUGAGAGGAUGAUCAGCCACACUGGGACUGAGACACGGCCCAGACUCCUACGGGAGGCAGCAGUGGGGAAUAUUGGACAAUGGGGGAACCCUGAUCCAGCAAUACCGCGUGUGUGAAAAAGGCCCUCGGGUUGUAAAGCACUUUUGUUAGGGAGGAUGGUAGUUGAGGUUAAUACCCUGAGCUAUUGACGUUACCUAAAGAAUAAGCACCGGCUAACUCCGUGACAGCCGCC